rnacentral:tRNA from 1 species
GGGGAUGUAGCUCAGUGGUAGAAUACUUGUCUCACAGGCAUAUUGGAGGCCCUGGGUUUUAUCCCCAGCAUCUCCA